CACAGAGCUUUCCCACACUGCCGGUGGAGUUGCCUGGGACCACCAGGAGGCAUCAGUCCCCUAUUAGUCCUACACCACUCCUCUCAUCAGUUCUCCCAGGGCAGGCAGGUGGAGGGAAAGCCUCGCCCCACUGCCCAGCUCCAGAAGUCCUGUCCCCUCUGGGCAGCGCCUCUCAGGUUAUCCACAGUCCCGGAGGUCCAGAGCAUCAGAGCCAGCAUCAAAGGCGGUGGUGGAAAGGCUGCAGUGCGCUGCGGCCUCCCUGCGCCGGGUCAGCCCCGGGGCCGUGAGAGGGCAGCACCCGGCUCUGCUGCAAGAGCAGAGCUCCGGCAGAGCUGCAUCGGGCCCCCUGGAAAACAUCCAGCAAAUCUGCAGAGAAUACUUUUUCUUCGAGUCCAAGAGUCAGGCUGAAGAUGAGUCCAAACUAAACCUUCCCACAGCUUUCCUCCACAGUCGGGCCGUUUGCUUCUCUGUAGACCCCGUUUCACAAAAGGAUCUCCCAUUGCCAGGGAAUUUUGCUGCUUCCGCUCAAGUAUGGAGGUGUCCACAGCAGCAGGAGGCAGAACAGCCCAUGCAACAACAUCUGGGCUGCCCUCAACAUCUGGGCUGGCAAAGCAGAGGAGACUCUCCAAAAAACACACAGAGCUUCAAACACAGCUGAGCAGAACUCCAGCACCUUUGUCACUCCUGGAAGACAAAUUGUGCCAUGGGGAAUGUUCCUCUGGACCUUCCCAGCCUUUGCCAGGCUGCAGCUGAGAAAGGAGCUGCCCCAGGAAAGAUCACCCAUGGCUUUGCCCUGCCCCAUCCUGAGGAUCUGAUCCAGCUGGGCAUUGUCCCUUCCCUUGUGCCAUGGGAGUGUCACUGGCUGCCACAUCGACCAAGGAGCCAACUCCACCCAGGAGCUGUUCCCACUCCUCCCAGUCCUCCAUUCCUGACCACCUCACCCAGAGCCAGAUGUCUUUGGCUUUGGACAAAAGCAGCCUCUGUGCAGACCAGUUUGUACUUCUGCCCUGGUGGAUCCUCAAUUUUGGGUUCUAUCAACAGCAUCCAGACAUGUGCUUAAAAAGACAACAUCAAGGGCAUGUCUGCAAAAUGCUGCCCCAAUAUCCAGAUUUGUGCCAACACCUUCAGAGGAAUUGGCCCAAAUCCUGGGGGUCUGAGCUCCCAAUCCCACACAGAAGGGCUGCUGAGAGACAGCUCUGCAAUGCAGAGAUGCUCCUGGCAUGGGGGAUGUUUCAAUCCCUGUUCCCAGCAGGUGCAGCAGCACUGGGCCCCAGUGGUGCUGAGGCACUGGUGCAGGUGCCAGCACAGGUGUCCCAGUGCAGACACAAACACCCUCUAAAGCUGUCCUCAGCCCAGCACUGCCUCCCUGACAUGCUGCUGCAAAACCCCAAAAUUCAGCAUCAAAUCUGUCUCCAGGACACCUCCAUGGGCCAGAAGUUCCUUACAUAAACAAAGGGCAGCUGGUUUUCCAAUAGAUCACUCAGGAGCCAAGAGGAAUUUGAUUCCAAACCUCAUUU